rnacentral:lncRNA from 1 species
AUAUUAUUCCUUUCAUACAAAUAUUCCUUAUGGGACCAGAUCCUAUUGAUGGACUUUUAGGUUGUUCUCCUGUUACAUAGUCACAAGUAAUGUGGUAAUACAGCCUUUCACAGGCACUUGGUGUGUAUUUAUGAAUAUGUUAAUCUUUUUUUUUUUAAUUACUCAAUGAAUUUAUUACAUUUGUAGCUGUACAAUGAUCAUCACAAUCCAAUUUUAUAGGAUUUCCAUUCCACAACCCCAGCACACCCCCCCACCCCCCAAACUGUCUCCUCCGGAAACCAUAAGUUUUUCAAUGUCUGUGAGUCAGCAUCUGUUCUGCAAAGAAGCUCAUUGUGUCCUUUUUUCAGAUUCCACAUGUCAGUGAAAGCAUUUGAUGUUGGUGUCUCAUUGUGUGGCUGACUUCACUUAGCAUGAUAAUUUCUACGUCCAUCCAUGUUGCUAAAAAUGCCGGUAUUUCAUUCCUUUUAAUGGCUGAGUAAUAUUCCAUCGUGUAUAUACACCACAUCUUCUUGAUCCACUGCUCUGUCGAUGGACAUUUAGGUUGUUUCCAUGUCUUGGCUAUUGAAGAGUGCUGCAAUGAACACUGGAGUACAUGUGUCUUUUCGAGUCAUGGUUUUCUCUGGAUAGAUGCCCAGGAGUGGGAUUGCUGGAUGGGAUGGUAAUUCUAUUUUUAGUUUUAUGAGGAAUCUCCAUACUGUUUUCCACAGGGGCUGCACCAAUUUACAAUUUCACCAACAGUUAGAUAUGCAAACCUUUGAUAGGUACAGAUCCCUAGGUGACCCAGGAAUGCUCUAUCCAUGCAGGAAGCUGUUCACCUCCCCCCGGGCUGGUACCUCCCCAGAGGGUUCCUGAUACUACAUUUUCUACAGCUGGUGCCUGGGGCCUCUGUCUCUGCCUUGUCUUACCUGGAGCAGGUAUCUUACUUUUUCUGCCCAUUUGUACAUUACCUGUUUUUAGCCCUCUCAACCCUUCCAUUGGAUUGGAAGCUUUAGACUUAUACUCUUCAGGUCCCAUAUGAAAAUUCUUUUUUUUUUUUUUUUUUUUUUUGCUUUUUAGGGGUGCACCCGUGGCAUAUGGAGUUUCCCAGGCGAGGGGUCUAAUCGGAGCUAUAGCUGCUGUCCUAUGCCACGGCCACAGCAACGCCAGAUCAGAGCCGUGUCUGUGACCUACACCAGAGCUCAUGGCAAUGCCAGAUCUUUAACCCUCUGAGCAAGGCCAGGGAUGGAACCCAAAACCUCAUGGUUCCUAGUUUAUCUACCUUCCACCAUCCCCUUCCGACUUCAUGAUGUACUUAUUUGGUCCAUUUUCUAUAGUUUCUAAGACUCAAAGCAUACAUCAUCCUUUUUUUUUUUUUUGCUUUUUUUCUGCAUUUUGGGGCAGCACCUGCAGCAUAUGGAAAUUCCCAGGCUAGCAGUUGAAUUGGAGUUGCAGCUGAGGCCUCUACCACAGCCACAGCAGCACUGGAUCCUUAACCCACUGAGCAAGGCCAGGGAUUGAACCCACAUCCUCAUGGAUACUAGUCAGGUUCAUAACCACCUGAGCCAUGACAGGAGCUCCCUACAUCAUCAUUUUUUAUACAUUUGUUUUGUGUUGUUUUUUGCUGCACCCUCGGCACAUGGAAACUCUUGGGCCAUGGGUGGAACCCAAGCUGCAGCUGUGACCUAUACCUCAGCUGCAGCAACAUCAGAUCUUUAACCCACUGGGCCACAGUGGGAACUCUCAAAAAGGCAUGUUUUUUUACCCCGAGUGUUCUCCCCUCCCUGGCCCCACUUUCAUGUUCCCUGCUCUCCAUUUCCUGCCAUUGGAAGCUUGUAAAGUAGAUUUAUUAUCUGGCACCUUCUUUAACAGAGAAUGCUCCACAGUGUUGGAAUUUUCCUAAGCCAACAUUUUCCUUCCAACUCAUGAGGAACCAAGAGAACUUUUUGCUGAACAGUGAGAUUGUGAUCUGAUUGAGAUCAGACCGGACAUGAGGAAGCAUAGAGUGUGAGCCUCACUCAGCCAGCAUUAGAUACCUCCUCCUCCUUAAUGGGCUUGUUUCCUCAUCUGAAAAAAAAAAAAAUCAGGCUGGACCAUCCACCCCAGUUUGAACUAAAACUGAUUUUUAUUCCCUUUUCCAGAUGAGCUCUAUCUGUCAGUAAUGCUCAUGACUGUUCAUCCUCAAAAAAUGUCCUCUUUCCAGAAAGACAUACAGAAACAAUUAAGAGAAUAUUUUAAACACACCUUAGAUUUGCUCAUUUAUUCCCCUCAAUGACCGAGUCUUUUGAAGUAAAUGAGAGGUACCUCAAAGAGCCACCGAGGUAGUUUUUAACCUAAAAACAACAGCAACAGCAAACUCUGACCUAAAUUCUGAGGCCACCUUUCAGGGUGGAAUGUGUUUCCAGGGAGUGAUAAGAUUAAGUUGGGGUCUAUGAUAAAGUUUUCCUCUGGAGCUUCCUUUUGAAUGACAUGAAGUGGGAAAUUAGAAUUACUGAAGGGAAGAGAAAUG